rnacentral:ncRNA from 1 species
CCCGCUAGUUUAAGCAUAUCAAUGAGCAGAGGAAAAGAAACUUACAAGGAUUCCCUUAGUAACUGAGAGCGAACCAGGAACAACCCAACCUCAGAAUCAGGCGGCUCGGUCAUCCGAAUUACAGUUUGGAGAAGCGUCCUCAGCGGCGAACCGGACCCAAGUCCCCUGGAAGGGGGCUCUAGAGAGGGUGAGAGCUCCGUUGUGCCCGGACCGUGUCACACCACGAGGCGCUGUCUAUGUGUCGGGUUGUUUGGGAAUGCAACCUAAAUGAAGCGGUGAAUUACGUCCAAGGCUAAGUACAAGCGAGAGAUAGAUAACAAACAAGUACCGCGAGGAAAAGAUGAAAAAGACUUUGAAAAGAGAGUCAAAGAGUGCUUGAAAUUGUCGGGAGGGAAGUAGAUGGGGGCUGGCGAUGCGCCUCGAUCGAAUGUGGAACAAUGAUAAGCCGGUUCAUAGAUCGACUCGGGGCACGGACCAGCAUCUAUUGAAGAGGAGGGGGGAGGCAAAAGUGUGAGCCCUCGAUAUACACGUGGAACGCCGUCUCCCCGAUUAUGGCAGGCAGUGCGCGCCUCUGUCCUGCUUCAACAUCUGUGCACUCCGAACGUUGGCCUGUGGUAUCCUCAUUCGACCCGUCUUGAAACACAG